rnacentral:lncRNA from 1 species
AGUAGGAACUCUAUAGGGACCCCAAACAUCAACAUGCAAUAGUUGAAAACAUGCAGUAGUAGUAUUGCUCAAAGGAAAUGAUAGUCUGGCUUGCUUAGCCAAUGGACAUACAGUACAAAUGGUAGAAGAACUAGAUGGAAAAUGUUUGAAACAACUAAGUUUUCUGAUAGUAGAAACAGGCACAUGACCGAGUCUCUGAUGCCAAAGAGACAUAUCUAAGCUACAAGACUGAGAAGAAGAAACUGCAUUAGCU